rnacentral:rRNA from 1 species
UACGGAGGGUGCGAGCGUUGUCCGGAAUCACUGGGCGUAAAGGGCGCGUAGGUGGCGUCGCAAGUCAACGGUGAAAGCUCGACGCUCAACGUCGAGUCGGCCGUCGAGACUGCGAGGCUUGAGCACUGUAGAGGCAGAUGGAAUUCCGGGUGUAGCGGUGGAAUGCGUAGAGAUCCGGAAGAACACCGGUGGCGAAGGCGGUCUGCUGGGCAGUUGCUGACACUGAGGCGCGACGAGCGUGGGAGCAAACAGGA